UGGAGUUGGCAAUAAUAUCUUUUGAGGUGCUCACGCGUUCCCUCUGCAAAUGUAGAGGUCUAAGCUUGAGAGCCACCUUAAGAGACGCCACUCUA
rnacentral:sRNA from 12 species